rnacentral:misc_RNA from 1 species
GUGAAUCAUCGAAUUUUUGAACGCAAAUUGCACUCUCCUCGGAGAGUAUGCCUGUUUGAGGGUCAGCAUAUAAAAAAUCGACAUCGUUGCUGUUUCGCGGUGUCGUUCGUCGGAAAUUGGGUAAUCUUAAAUCCUUUUGGUUUUAAGCGACUUAAAAAUUUUUUUUUGGUUCCAUGAACGUUUCUAAGAUUUAUUUAUUUAAACGUUUAAGGUAUCGAUUUUUAUUAGACGUGAUCAUCAUAUAGGAUUGCGUUCAUAAUCUUUCAUUAAAUGAUCUCAGA